rnacentral:rRNA from 1 species
GGGCCCGCACAAGCGGUGGAGCAUGUGGUUCAAUUCGACGCAACGCGAAGAACCUUACCGGGGCUUGAACUGUAACUGCUACUUCUGGAAACAGGGGGUUCUCUUCGGAGACGGUUAUAGAGGUGCUGCAUGGCUGUCGUCAGCUCGUGUCGUGAGAUGUUGGGUUAAGUCCCGCAACGAGCGCAACCCUUGCCCUUAGUUGCCAUCAGGUAAAGCUGGGCACCCUAAGGGAACUGUCGGCGAAAAGCCGGAGGAAGGUGGGGAUGACGUCAAGUCCUCAUGGCCCUUACGUCCCGGGCUACACACGUGCUACAAUGGCUGGUACAAAGAGUCGCCAACCCGCGAGGGGGAGCUAAUCUCAAAAAACCAGUCCCAGUUCGGAUUGCAGUCUGCAACUCGACUGCAUGAAGGUGGAAUCGCUAGUAAUCGCAGAUCAGCACGCUGCGGUGAAUACGUUCCCGGGCCUU